GCACCCGUAGCUCAGCUGGAUAGAGCGCCACCCUCCGAAGGUGGAGGCCACAGGU
rnacentral:tRNA from 1 species